rnacentral:rRNA from 1 species
ACGUGAUCUGAGUUCAGACCGGAGUAAUCCAGGUCAGUUUCUAUCUAUAAAGAGAAUUUUCUAGUACGAAAGGACCGAAAAAGCAUGGCCAAUAUUUUAUACACGCCAUAAUUAAUAAUUUAUGAUUUAACUCAAUAAAUAAUUAUUCUAAUAUUAAGCCCAAUUUAAGAGCA